GCGGCGAGCCCAAUGUCAGCUAUGGGUGGAGGCGACCCGACAAUGUGGCCAGAACGCUGAGGCUGAGCUUGCCUCCCACCAGUGACUGUCCAGGACCUCUGAGGCCUGCCCCUCACCAGUGCGUCUGAGAAGCAUGAUCGGUGAAGAGAUUCUCAUGGGGACAGGAAGGCUGGGGAUCAGGAACAGCAUCAAACCAAUCCAGGUCUCCUUUCUGACCCCCCCCCAGCUCUCCAAAACUGUAGACACACUAACUCUUUCUACUCUCUAAAUCCUUCCAGAAUUCUUACUCAUCACCUGCUGCUUGCGGACUGCAGUUCUUCACGAGGAGAGCGUCAGUCAAGCUUCUGUGUUUUGUAAUGAUUUUCUAGCCAGCUUGUAAAUGUGACAUGAAAGUAUUUUUACCUUUGUGCCAGUCCUUGCCACGCAGGCACCCUGUUCUCUGUGUGUCACUGGCAUUUACUUGCAGUGGAAAGGUUCUUUGCUGAUGUAAGAGUUCCAUGUGCUCUCUUGAAGGUGUGGUGGUAACACCUCCCUGUGUUAGCUUUCUUGCUACGGUUGUCAUUUUCUAUUAUAAUUAAACAGAAGGAAGGUUUAACUCUG
rnacentral:lncRNA from 1 species